UCAGGAGUCGUCUAAAGGGGUAGGACUUCAGACUUUGAAUCUGAAAAUGGAGGUUCGAACCCUUCCUC
rnacentral:tRNA from 1 species